GACGAACGCUGGCGGCGUGCUUAACACACGCAAGUCGAACGAUGAAGCCGGAGCUUGCUCUGGUGAAUUAGUGGCGAACGGGUGAGUAACACGUGAGUAACCUGCCCUUGACUCUGGGAUAACUGCGGGAAACUGUAGCUAAUACCGGAUACGACCCUCGGAGGCAUCUCCUGGGGGUGGAAAGAAUUUCGGUCGAGGAUGGACUCGCGGCCUAUCAGCUAGUUGGUGAGGUAAAGGCUCACCAAGGCGACGACGGGUAGCCGGCCUGAGAGGGUGACCGGCCACACUGGGACUGCGACACGGCCCAGACUCCUACGGGAGGCAGCAGUGGGGAAUAUUGCACAAUGGGCGCAAGCCUGAUGCAGCAACGCCGCGUGAGGGAUGACGGCCUUCGGGUUGUAAACCUCUUUUAGUAGGGAAGAAGCGAAAGUGACGGUACCUGCAGAAAAAGCACCGGCUAACUACGUGCCAGCCGCCGCAGUAA
rnacentral:rRNA from 1 species